CUCAUCUCUCAACCGAUUUGGGUGAUCCAAAAGGCAAAGUUGUGAGAUUUUUCGAGGACAACGCGUUGGUGAUCUCGGAUAGUGAUUUGGAGUCCCCGUUUGAGGUCCGGGCACUAGUAGCCAGCGUUGAUCGAGCUUGGAGCAGACUGAUCCGGAGACGGGAGUGAGCACACGACGUUUUGUACUAUUUCAGUCUCCAUCUGUAUAUAUAGACUUGUCUUUUACCUUUCGAGACAGUCCAGUCUCUGUUGUCCACUUUUGGGACUUGUACUCAUUUUGUUAGUAGCUCUGUACUAGUGACUUCCAGGUUCUGGGAGGGAUCUUUAUUUGUAUAUAUGUUUUUGGUUUGCUUCCGCCUGUUUA